GACGAACGCUGACAGAAUGCUUAACACAUGCAAGUCUACUUGAUUCUACUUCGGUAGUUGAUGGUGGCGGACGGGUGAGUAACGCGUAAAGAAUCUGCCCUUUAGUUUGGGAUAACCUUUGGAAACGAAGGCUAAUACCGGAUAUUAUGGAGACGUCGCAUGGCGACUCCAUGAAAGCUAUAUGCGCUAGAGGAGGACUUUGCGUCCCAUUAGUUAGUUGGUGAGGUAAUGGCUAACCAAGACCGCGAUGGGUAGCCGGCCUGAGAGGGUGAUCGGCCACAAGGGAACUUAGACAUGGUCCUUACUCCUACGGGAUGCAGCAGUGGGGAAUAUUGGACAAUGGGCCACAAGCCUGAUCCAGCAAUUCUGUGUGCACGAUGAAGGUCUUCUGAUUGUAAAGUGCUUUCAGUAGGGAAGAAAAAAAUGACGGUACCUACAGAAGAAGCGACGGCUAAAUAUGUGCCAGCCGCCGCCGUAA
rnacentral:rRNA from 1 species